GUAGGGGGCAAACGUUGUCCGGAUUUACUGGGUGUAAAGGGUGCUCAGGCGGUCUUGUAAGUUAGAAGUGAAAUCCUAGAGCUUAACUCUGGAACUGCUUUUAAUACUGCAGGGCCUGAAUGUGGAAGAGGAGGAUGGAAUUUCUGGUGUAGCAGUGAAAUGCGUAGAUAUCAGAAAGAACACCAGUGGCGAAGGCGGUCCUCUGGUCCACUAUCGACGCUAAAGCACGAAAGCGUGGGGAGCAAACAGGAUUAGAUACCCUGGUAGUCCACGCCUUAAACGAUGAAUACUAGACGUUGGGGUUAAACUCAGUGUCGCAGCUAACGCAUUAAGUAUUCCACCUGGGGAGUACGAUCGCAAGGUUG
rnacentral:rRNA from 1 species